AAUCUAACCUUAAAAAUGGAUUAAGACUAUGAGGAACCUAAAAAAUGCUCAGAGUUGCAAUAUUAUCUAUGAAAAAGGAUCCCUGCAGAUUUUACUCUGCUAGCUGUUGCUGACCAAGGGCACUGUUUGAGCAUAUAGUAAGGCACAAUGACAUGAAAAUGACAACAUGUACACUGCAAAUGAUGCAGUAAAGAACUUGUGUCAUGCUGUUUAACUAAUUCAACCAUUUGACUAGAGAUAUCCUUGAUUUACAAUACAUGAAUUGACCUAUUCAUUAAUACUUAGCCCACUCUAUAUAUUAACUGUAACCAAAGUGGAGAAUACUGAAACAUGUUCUUAGGAUACUUUCCAAUAAAAGAAUUAUCAUUUCAACUUCCUAUGCAAAUGUUCUCACUUUGAUGGCAUUGUAAACUGCUAUGUAAGCUUCUGUUUGAAUGAUUAUUGAUCGCAGAAUUAUUAUAGUUAAUAAAGCACAUCUUGGUGGCUUCGUAUUGCCUUGGCACAGAAGUAUACCUAUACCUAUGAAUUUUAAUUUCCAGGAACACAAGCUCAUAAUAAAUUAGUAGUUUGUCCAAAAAUGUACUACUUGCUGGGAAAUAGCAAAACAAUUAAUUUCUACAGCAGAAAUUCUUCUCUAUGCAGUGCCAAUUCACAUUAUUUACAAAGCCUUAAUCAACUUUCUGUAUUUAAGUACCAGUAUAAGUAGUACCGGUCAGUAAUAUAAAACUAAAUUCUACAUAUAGUUCUAAGUAUUAAUGAAUACAGAUACUGGAUCUUUCUUGCUCAUAUGAAUAAGCUUCUGCAUACAUAAAUUUAAUUACUUUAAACUUUUGGUAAAGAAACGUAAUUAAAAUCUGUAGUAUACACUGUAAUUUUGCUGUUUUUGUACAUUUUACAUUUUUUCUACAUUUUCUAUGAAACACUUAUGAACACACAUGAAAGUAGGAGAGAGGAAAGUCAAUUAAGUAGAGUAAAAAGGGUAUAAAAUUAAUCUUGCCUAUGGGGAGAUUGCACUAGAUAUCAGAUGACCUGUAAAAGGAAGAAUAUCUGUUGUUGUAACUGGAGAAUAUAUGGAAUUUUAAAAAUCCAAGUUUUACAAAAAUACUAAAUUUAAUCCCAAUUCAUUUAUAGUUCACAUUUACUUUAAGAAGUACUAGAAAAAUGCUAUGUAUUU